rnacentral:rRNA from 1 species
UACGUAGGGUGCGAGCGUUAAUCGGAAUUACUGGGCGUAAAGAGUGCGCAGGCGGCCGCGCAAGUCGAGUGUGAAAUCCCCGAGCUUAACUUGGGAAUUGCGCUCGAAACUACGUGGCUGGAGUGUGGCAGAGGAAGGUGGAAUUCCACGUGUAGCGGUGAAAUGCGUAGAGAUGUGGAGGAACACCGAUGGCGAAGGCAGCCUUCUGGGCCAACACUGACGCUCAUGCACGAAAGCGUGGGGAGCAAACAGG